rnacentral:rRNA from 1 species
GUUGUAUAGUCAAGUAAUUAAGUGCAUGUGGUGGAUGCCUUGGCAGUCAGAGGCGAUGAAAGACGUGAUAGCCUGCGAAAAGCUCCGGGGAGGCGGCAAAUAUCCUUUGAUCCGGAGAUUUCUGAAUGGGGGAACCCAUCUACUUUAAGGUAGGUAUUGCAACAUGAAUACAUAGUGUUGCAAGGCGAACGAGGGGAAGUGAAACAUCUCAGUACCCUUAGGAAAAGAAAUCAAUUGAGAUUCCCUCAGUAGCGGCGAGCGAACGGGGAUCAGCCCAUUAAGUUAUGUGUGUUUUAGUGGAACGCUCUGGGAAGUGCGAACGUAGAGGGUGAUAUUCCCGUACACGAAAGGGCACACAUAAUGAUGACGAGUAGGGCGAGGCACGUGAAACCUUGUCUGAAUAUGGGGGGACCAUCCUCCAAGGCUAAAUACUCCUGACUGACCGAUAGUGAACCAGUACCGUGAGGGAAAGGCGAAAAGAACCCCUGUGAGGGGAGUGAAAUAGAUCCUGAAACCGCAUGCAUACAAGCAGUGGGAGCACCUUCGUGGUGUGACUGCGUACCUUUUGUAUAAUGGGUCAGCGACUUAUAUUCAGUAGCGAGGUUAACCGUAUAGGGGAGCCGUAGGGAAACCGAGUCUUAAUAGGGCGUUUAGUUGCUGGGUAUAGACCCGAAACCAGGCGAUCUAUCCAUGAGCAGGUUGAAGGUUGGGUAACACUAACUGGAGGACCGAACCCACUGUCGUUGAAAAGCCAGGGGAUGACUUGUGGAUAGGGGUGAAAGGCUAAUCAAGCCUGGUGAUAGCUGGUUCUCCCCGAAAGCUAUUUAGGUAGCGCCUCGGACGAAUACCAUAGGGGGUAGAGCACUGUUUCGGCUAGGGGGUCAUCCCGACUUACCAAACCGAUGCAAACUCCGAAUACCUAUGAGUACUAUCCGGGAGACAGACUGCGGGUGCUAACGUCCGUAGUCAAGAGGAAAACAAUCCAGACCGCCAGCUAAGGCCCCAAAAUCAUAGUUAAGUGGGAAACGAUGUGGGAAGGCAUAGACAGCUAGGAGGUUGGCUUAGAAGCAGCCACCCUUUAAAGAAAGCGUAAUAGCUCACUAGUCGAGUCGGCCUGCGCGGAAGAUGUAACGGGGCUAAAACUAUGUGCCGAAGCUGCGGAUUUGACAUUAGUCAAGUGGUAGGGGAGCGUUCUGUAAGCCGAUGAAGGUGUAUUGAGAAGUAUGCUGGAGGUAUCAGAAGUGCGAAUGCUGACGUGAGUAACGACAAAACGGGUGAAAAACCCGUUCGCCGAAAGACCAAGGGUUCCAGUCCAACGUUAAUCGGGGCUGGGUGAGUCGACCCCUAAGGCGAGGCCGAAAGGCGUAGUCGAUGGGAAAUUGGUUAAUAUUCCAAUACUUCUGUGUAAUGCGAUGAGAGGACGGAGAAGGUUAAGUCAGCCUGGCGUUGGUUGUCCAGGUGGAAGGAUGUAGGUAUGUAUCUUAGGCAAAUCCGGGGUACUCUAUACUGAGAUCCGAUAGCAAGCUGUACUUGUACAGUGAAGUGG